rnacentral:rRNA from 1 species
AACGAACGCUGGCGGCAUGCCUAACACAUGCAAGUCGAACGAGACCUUCGGGUCUAGUGGCGCACGGGUGCGUAACGCGUGGGAACCUGCCCUUAGGUUCGGAAUAACUCCCCGAAAGGGGUGCUAAUACCGGAUAAUUUCUUCUGACCAAAGAUUUAUCGCCUUUGGAUGGGCCCGCGUUGGAUUAGCUAGUUGGUAGGGUAAAAGCCUACCAAGGCGACGAUCCAUAGCUGGUCUGAGAGGAUGAUCAGCCACACUGGGACUGAGACGCGGCCCAGACUCCUACGGGAGGCAGCAGUGGGGAAUAUUGGACAAUGGGCGAAAGCCUGAUCCAGCAAUGCCGCGUGAGUGAUGAAGGCCUUAGGGUUGUAAAGCUCUUUUACCCGGGAUGAUAAUGACAGUACCGGGAGAAUAAGCUCCGGCUAACUCCGUG